ensembl:piRNA 21ur-8128 ncRNA
UUCUGGGAUUUGUUUAUCAUU